rnacentral:rRNA from 1 species
GACGAACGCUGGCGGCGUGCCUAAUACAUGCAAGUCGAGCGAAUGGAUUAAGAGCUUGCUCUUAUGAAGUUAGCGGCGGACGGGUGAGUAACACGUGGGUAACCUGCCCAUAAGACUGGGAUAACUCCGGGAAACCGGGGCUAAUACCGGAUAACAUUUUGAACCGCAUGGUUCGAAAUUGAAAGGCGGCUUCGGCUGUCACUUAUGGAUGGACCCGCGUCGCAUUAGCUAGUUGGUGAGGUAACGGCUCACCAAGGCAACGAUGCGUAGCCGACCUGAGAGGGUGAUCGGACACACUGGGACUGAGACACGGCCCAGACUCCUACGGGAGGCAGCAGUAGGGAAACUUCCGCAAUGGACGAAAGUCUGACGGAGCAACGCCGCGUAAGUGAUGAAGGCUUUCGGGUCGUAAAACUCUGUUGUUAGGGAAGAACAAGUGCUAGUUGAAUAAGCUGGCACCUUGACGGUACCUAACCAGAAAGCCACGGCUAACUACGUGCCAGCAGCCGCAGUAA